rnacentral:tRNA from 1 species
GGCCAGGUGGCAGAGUGGUCAUGCAGCGGCCUGCAAAGCCGCGUACGCCGGUUCGAUUCCGACCUUGGCCU